rnacentral:rRNA from 1 species
GAGCCUGAGAAACGGCUACCACAUCCAAGGAUGGCAGCAGGCGCGCAAAUUACCCAAUCCCGACACGGGGAGGUAGUGACAAUAAAUAACAAUACGGGGUUCUUUAGGAUCUCGUAAUUGGAAUGAGUACAAUUUAAAUCUCUUAACGAGGAACAAUUGGAGGGCAAGUCUGGUGCCAGCAGCCGCGGUAAUUCCAGCUCCAAUAGCGUAUAUUAAAGUUGUUGCAGUUAAAAAGCUCGUAGUUGAAUUUCGGGGUUAGUAGGUUGGUCAUGCCUCUGGUAUGUACUGGUCUCACUGAUUCCUCCUUCCUUAUGAACCGUAAUGCCAUUAAUUUGGUGUUGCGGGGAAUUUGGACUGUUACUUUGAAAAAAUUAGAGUGUUUAAAGCAAGCUAACGCUUGAAUACAUUAGCAUGGAAUAAUGAAAUAGGACGUUCGAUCUUAUUUUGUUGGUUUCUAGGAUUGACGUAAUGAUUAAUAGGGAUAGUUGGGGGCAUUAGUAUUCAAUUGUCAGAGGUGAAAUUCUUGGAUUUAUUGAAGACUAACUACUGCGAAAGCAUUUGUCGAGGAUGUUUUCAUUAAUCAAGAACGAAAGUUAGGGGAUCGAAGACGAUCAGAUACCGUCGUAGUCUUAACCAUAAACUAUGCCGACUAGGGAUCGGAUGAUGUUAAUUUUUUAAUGACUCAUUCGGCGCCUUACG